AGGUGAGACAGAGGAGAGAUGAAGGGGGCACAGGUGAGACAGAGGAGAGAUGAAGGGGGCACAGGUGAGACAGAGGAGAGAUAAAGGGGACACAGGUGAGACAGAGGAGAGAUGAAGGGGACACAGGUGAGACAGAGGAGAGAUGAAGGGGACACAGGUGAGACAGGAGAGAUGAAGGGGACACAGGUGAGACAGGAGAGAUAAAGGGGGCACAGGUGAGACAGAGGAGAGAUGAAGGGGACACAGGUGAGACAGGAGAGAUGAAGGGGACACAGGUGAGACAGGAGAGAUAAAGGGGGCACAGGUGAGACAGAGGAGAGAUGAAGGGGACACAGGUGAGACAGAGGAGAGAUGAAGGGGGCACAGGUGAGACAGAGGAGAGAUGAAGGGAGCACAGGUGAGACAGAGGAGAGAUGAAGGGGGCACAGGUGAGACAGAGGAGAGAUGAAGGGGGCACAGGUGAGACAGGAGAGAUGAAGGGGACACAGGUGAGACAGAGGAGAGAUGAAGGGGACACAGGUAAGACAGAGGAGAGAUGAAGGGGGCACAGGUGAGACAGAGGAGAGAUGAAGGGGGCACAGGUGAGACAGAGGAGAGAUAAAGGGGACACAGGUGAGACAGAGGAGAGAUGAAGGGGACACAGGUAAGACAGAGGAGAGAUGAAGGGGGCACAGGUGAGACAGAGGAGAGAUGAAGGGGGCACAGGUGAGACAGAGGAAAGAUGAAGGGAGCACAGGUGAGACAGAGGAAAGAUGAAGGGAGCACAGGUGAGACAGGAGAGAUGAAGGGGACACAGGUGAGACAGAGGAGAGAUGAAGGGGACACAGGUGAGACAGAGGAGAGAUGAAGGGGACACAGGUGAGACAGAGGAGAGAUGAAGGGGACACAGGUAAGACAGAGGAGAGAUGAAGGGGGCACAGGUGAGACAGAGGAAAGAUGAAGGGAGCACAGGUGAGACAGGAGAGAUGAAGGGGACACAGGUGAGACAGAGGAGAGAUAAAGGGGACACAGGUGAGACAGAGGAGAGAUGAAGGGGACACAGGUGAGACAGAGGAGAGAUGAAGGGGACACAGGUGAGACAGGAGACAUGAAGGGGGCACAGGUGAGACAGGAGAGAUGAAGGGGACACAGGUGAGACAGGAGAGAUGAAGGGGACACAGGUGAGACAGAGGAGAGAUAAAGGGGACACAGGUGAGACAGAGGAGAGAUGAAGGGGACACAGGUGAGACAGAGGAGAGAUGAAGGGGACACAGGUGAGACAGGAGACAUGAAGGGGACACAGGUGAGACAGAGGAGAGAUGAAGGGGGCACAGGUGAGACAGAGGAGAGAUGAAGGGGGCACAGGUGAGACAGAGGAGAGAUGAAGGGGGCACAGGUGAGACAGGAAAGAUGAAGGGGGCACAGGUGAGACAGGAGACAUGAAGGGGACACAGGUGAGACAGAGGAGAGAUGAAGGGGGCACAGGUGAGACAGAGGAAAGAUGAAGGGGGCACAGGUGAGACAGAGGAGAGAUGAAGGGGGCACAGGUGAGACAGAGGAAAGAUGAAGGGGGCACAGGUGAGACAGAGGAGAGAUGAAGGGGGCACAGGUGAGACAGAGGAAAGAUGAAGGGGGCACAGGUGAGACAGAGGAGAGAUGAAGGGGGCACAGGUGAGACAGAGGAAAGAUGAAGGGGACACAGGUGAGACAGGAGACAUGAAGGGGGCACAGGUGAGACAGAGGAGAGAUGAAGGGGGCACAGGUGAGACAGAGGAAAGAUGAAGGGAGCACAGGUGAGACAGAGGAGAGAUGAAGGGGACACAGGUGAGACAGGAGAGAUGAAGGGGACACAGGUGAGACAGGAGACAUGAAGGGGACACAGGUGAGACAGAGGAGAGAUGAAGGGGACACAGGUGAGACAGAGGAGAGAUGAAGGGGGCACAGGUGAGACAGAGGAGAGAUGAAGGGGGCACAGGUGAGACAGAGGAAAGAUGAAGGGGACACAGGUGAGACAGGAGACAUGAAGGGGGCACAGGUGAGACAGAGGAGAGAUGAAGGGGGCACAGGUGAGACAGAGGAAAGAUGAAGGGAGCACAGGUGAGACAGGAGAAAUGAAG